rnacentral:rRNA from 1 species
UACGAAGGGGGCUAGCGUUGUUCGGAAUUACUGGGCGUAAAGCGCGUGUAGGCGGGUCUUUAAGUCAGGGGUGAAAUGCCAAGGCUCAACCUUGGAACUGCCUUUGAUACUGGGGACCUUGAGUCCGGGAGAGGUGAGUGGAAUUGCGAGUGUAGAGGUGAAAUUCGUAGAUAUUCGCAAGAACACCAGUGGCGAAGGCGGCUCACUGGCCCGGAACUGACGCUGAGACGCGAAAGCGUGGGGAGCGAACAGG